rnacentral:rRNA from 1 species
CAAGUCGGACGAUCUGUAGCAAUACAGGGAGUGGCGGAAGGGUGAGUAACACGUAGAAAUCUUACCUCGACGGAGGGAACAACCCCUCGAAAGAGAGGCUAAUACCCAAAAGGAUCCGCAAGGAUCAGAGUCGCAAGGCCUGUCAAGAGGAAUCUGCGGCCCAUCAGCUCGUUGGUGAGGUAAGAGCUUACCAAGGCUACGACGGGUAGGGGGUCUGAGAGGAUGUCCCCCCACACUGGAACUGAAACACGGUCCAGACGCCUACGGGUGGCAGCAGGGAGGAAUAUUGGUCAAUGGGGGAAACCCCGAACCAGCAACGCCGCGUGAGGGAUGAAGGCCUUCGGGUUGUAAACCUCUUUUCAGGGAGACGAGAAAGGACGGUAUCCCUGGAAUAAGUCACGGCUAACUACGUGCCAGCAGCCGCGGUAAUACGUAGGUGACGAGCGUUAUCCGGAUUUACUGGGCGUAAAGCGCUUGUAGGUGGUCUUGUAAGUUGGGCGUGAAAGCUCCGGGCUUAACUCGGAGAGGCCGUCCGAUACUGCGAGGCUGGAGGAUGUCAGAGGAAGGUGGAAUUCCUGGUGUAGUGGUGAAAUGCGUAGAUAUCAGGAGGAACACCCGUGGCGAAGGCGGCCUUCUGGGGCAUUCCUGACACUGAGAAGCGAAAGCUAGGGGAGCAAACAGGAUUAGAAACCUCUGGUAGUCCUAGCCGUAAACGAUGGAUGCUAGGUGUUGGCGGAUU